UAUAAAUGAAUAUAUAUGUGUUUGACAAAAAAAAGAAAAAAAUAUGUAUGUAUAUUACACAUAUAUCAUAUGGUGUAAGUAUUCAUUCAUAGUCUAAGAAAUUUCCACAAAAGGUUCUCAACAUUUACUUAAAACAUAUUUAAUAUAUGCAAAAAAAAAACUUUUGACGUAUUUGUUCUUUAUGCUGGUUGAGUCCAAAUUGUUUUUCAUCUAGUUAGCAUCCACAUUGUGGCCUAAAUCUGUUAUGAUACUUUUGAUAUUUAGGUGUUGGGCUCUUGGAAUAAUGAAAGAUGGCUAUAUGGUAAACUCCGCGAAGCCGAGGAUAGGUGGAAAUAAAGUAAAUGUGGGUUUAAUUUAAAAAUGUUAGUCUUACAUAGACCAUUUUCAUAAAUAAAAAAUUUCCGGCUCAGACUAUUUUCUAAAACCACUGCUCUCUAUCGAUAAAAGAGAUGUUGGUGAAAGGAGCUGCUUCCACUUUGGUGAUUGGCUAAUGAUACAUAGCACCGAUGCUCUCCGUAAUACACAGUCCUAAAAAAUCAACUCAAUUAAGUCAGUAAUACACACUCCGAUUAAUCUGUUCAUUGUGAUCAAUGUUUACUAACCUUUGUGUUUUGUGAUCUCCCAUGUCAUUCCACCCAUCAAGAUAAAUAACUCUAGACAUAUAUGUCUUGGAGAAGACAACACUUGCAUAAGGUUUCUAUGCUUCCUAUAAUCUUGCAAUUCACGAAAACGAAUCUCGUUCGAUCAAUUGAUGACUUUUACAUGUAUUUAUUAUGAGAGUUGGUGUCUUGUACACUAAUCAAGAUGCUUUUAAUACUCAUCUUAAGUUUUUAUUUU
rnacentral:sRNA from 1 species